rnacentral:rRNA from 1 species
GCCUACGGGACGCAGCAGUGGGGAAUAUUGCACAAUGGGGGGAACCCUGAUGCAGCAACGCCGCGUGAGUGAAGAAGUAUUUCGGUAUGUAAAGCUCUAUCAGCAGGGAAGAAGAUGACGGUACCUGAGUAAGAAGCCCCGGCUAACUACGUGCCAGAAGCCGCGGUAAUACGUAGGGGGCAAGCGUUAUCCGGAUUUACUGGGUGUAAAGGGAGCGUAGACGGUGAGACAAGUCUGAAGUGAAAGCCCGGG